CACUCACCAAGGAUGGAGCCAGCACCCGAUGAGCUUGCUCGAUUGCCCGUGUUGGGUCUUUUCGAACCGUUGAAUUCCUUCCCUGGUAGGCAGUAGCAUCGAUAGAGUGUACACUGUGAAGGCAGCCAGCAGGGAAGAUGAAGGAGAUGAAGGUUUGGUUAAUGGUUUUGGCCUUCUUUUCUUUUCAAUUAGCGUGCUUUCAUUAUGAACGUUGUUUUCUGGUUUUUUUAAGUUUAUUUUGAUGUCCGAUGGCUCCAAAGUACAACACAAAAAUUGCUGACGGGAGUAGCUAAAAAGAAAGCAGAUAAGAUAGUGAAUCCUUUAUUCGGGAAGCUCCCAGAGCAAUUUGAAAUUGGUGGAGCGUUGCCGCCGAAGAAGGAUCUCCACCGAUUUGUGAAAUGGCCUCAAAUGGUUUGGAUUUAGCGCAAGAAGAUCAUUUUGAACCAAUGCCUUAAAGUUCGGUUGCCCAUUAGUUCUAGAUAACCCUCAACAAGAGCUUAGGUCGAUUUUUUAUACCUCUUUUCUGUAUUUUUUACUGUCCGUAUUUGCUAAUUGUUUAUGAGAUGUUGAAUGUUAUUCUUUUUUACUAAACGUGAUCUUGGUAAUUUGUAUGUUUGCUGUUGCUGUUGACAAAUGUAGGAAGCUAGAUGUGUUAAUUUUUGUAUUAUUGAAGAUGCUAUUGAUUUCUUUGGACCUGUUAGUCUUAUUUUACUUUCACAAAAUGUUCAUUUGUUUCUUUGUAUCACUUUUAAUGACUACUAAAUGAUAUCGCUAUUGCGAUCGUGGACGAUCGACGAUCAAUGAUCUCCUAACUCACCAACCAUCCUGAAUCCGUUCAUGCCACCCACCCCCAUGUCCAACUAUGACACCACCCACUAUCACCUCACCCAUCGCCCUUGAAUUUGAUUUCAAAAAGCGACAAAAUCGAAGUUCAGAUAAGAGAAUCUAGUCUUGUUUCAUAAGACAUCUCAAAUUUCUUAAAUAUCAUCUAAAUAAUUUCUAUUAAUUCCAUACUUUACUAGGAUGAUAAAUAAUUGCAAAAUGAACUUGAAUUACAUAAUUAUAAGUGAACUUCAUUUCAUUAAUGAUAUAUAUCAAUGAUUUAGGAGGAAGAUUGUGUCUAUUCAACACGUACCCAUAUAAUUUCUGGCUAAAAGUUCAAGCAAUCAAAUCUAAUUCAGAGUGAUCAACCAAAAUAAAAUUUGUAGAAACUUAAUUUUUAAAUUGCUUGUAUACAUUUUAGCCAAUGGAAAUUCUUCCGCAGUUGAUGGGGAGAGGCAAGUUUGGUGUUUGGAACUUUGGUAAAGAACAAUUAUAAACACUAAUGUAUCUCGAACUUCAUAAAUAAAAUAUUGUCAUCUUAAUAAGAAAAAAAUGUAUAACACAAAAGGUUUCUUAACAAAGAAGAGUAAAACCCUUCAAGGGUCUAUGAUGUGAUACAAAUAAACAAAUUCAUGCCCCUCGGAGUACAGCUCAAUUGGUGGAUCAAUUAACAUUAUCUUGCUUUCAGUUGCAGGGUGGAGAGUUCGAUUCUUGGUGGGAACCUGCGGCCAAAAUUUGGUAUGGAGCAAUCACUGUGGAGGAGGGUCUCUUGUGUGCAGAAGUGUACAGGUAAUGGGGGGAACCUGUGAUCCAAUUGAAGUAUAACCCGCAAUUUACCCCCUUCAAGAUUCUAGGGGCAAGGACUUUGGAGGUCCAGGAUUUAGUUUGGUGUAAGCUGUGAUAUCUGGAUAUCGAAAAAAAAAAAAUAAAAAAAAAAAAAAUUUCACAUAUGUUGUUCCUGUAAGUUUCUCUUCUUAGCUCAUGAUUAAAGUUGACACUCUACUACAGUUUUGAGGGGUCAAAAUUCAGAGAUGAUAUCAUAAAGAUUGUAGUAAAGAUAGUGAAUUUUUGACGCUUCAAACUUGUACUAUGAUAUUCUUG
rnacentral:lncRNA from 1 species